rnacentral:rRNA from 1 species
AUGAAUGUUGCUGAGAAGGAGAUCUUAAGAGCCGAUAAUGUUCACGAAGCUGCACAAGAGAUGUUCAAAAUAAUUCAGCUCAGGGGCCGCAUAUUCUGCCUUGAUUGUUGGGAUGGAUUUGGGGCCUCUGCUGUUCUUAGAUACAUGGCGGCAAUGCUUCCAUCCAGGAGAAACAUUCCGGAACUAUGCUUUGACAGAAUAAUUUUCAUAGAUUGCUCAAAGUGGAAUAACAGGAGAGCGGUGCAGAGAGCAAUUGCACAGGAACUGACACUUGACCGCUCUAUAAUGGCUACUCUAGAUAAGCAAGACGAAGAGGAUGAUUUUAAGGGAAUUGGUGAAAGCUCGAGGAAUGAGAUAGGCAGUGUUGCACAAGUGAUUGAGCAAACCCUGACUGGCACCAAAUUUAUGAUGUUUUUUCUCAAUGGAAGUGAUGACGAGGUUGACAUUGGUUCGUUUGGCAUUCCUCUUACAAGGUUUGGUAAAAACAUGAUGAUAUGGACCUUCAACAGGUGCUGCUUGACAAUGCAUCGCCAUGUUGACCGUCUUUCGAUAUCAAGCAAUCUAAGAUAUACUCAUGUUUUCAUAUAUUCAUUCCGGGGAGCUCGCUCAUUAAUAGCUUAUGAGUUUCAAGAACUACUUCAUCAACAAUGUGCCACCAUAGUUGCUCGAAGUCCAUCUAUGCUAGACAUCAACCCUACAAUGGUUAAAGAAUGUUGCCUCUAUGGGUUAUUUCUUCAUUAUAUUUUUCACAUUUCCACCAAACUUGAUUGGAUCGCUCAUGCUUCCAACUAUUGGAUAUGUGAUGCAAUCAUACAAGGGGACAAAGCAAGGGAUGUUAGUAACACAUUGCAUGGAGAGAUAAAUUGGGAGGGUGAUGCUACUGUGAUUGAUGAGGUGCUUCAGAUGCUCAUGAAAUAUUUUGAGCAUUUAUUUCUGGUAGUUAAAGAUGAUGAUGUCUAUAAGGAAGGGUCAUACCGUUGGAUUUCAGUCACAUCAAAAAAUAUGGAAAUAUGUGGUAUGCAAACUAUUCCUGCAGUGACGUCAUCUCUGUUUUUGGCAUUUGAAAGAUCCGAUCACCCACCAACUCUGCAAAAAGGCUUCUUUGAACAUUCCAACAAGCUUGGUGUGCUAGUUCUCUGUUUCUGUGCCUUCAAUUUUGCAUCACCUCCUUUUCACCAUUGUCAGAACCUCAGAUUCCUUGGAUUGGACCAUUGUACACGUAGCAAAACAUGUGAAGCAGAUAAUCAUCAAGAGUGGGCAUGCUUGUAUAAUCUUUUGGUGCUGGACCUACGCUACACAGAGUGGGAUAAUAUCUUAUCUGAGGAGAAAAUGGAUCUUAUGAAAAGCAUCACAGAACUAAAUAUAGAAGGAGUCAGAUGUUGGCGGUACACAGCUCAGUUACAAGGGAGGCUGCCUAACCUUGAGAGACUCCGAAUAAUCAAACCAACUUGUCAGCAUGAGACAUCAAAUGAUGUUGAUAACUCCUUCACAGAUAAGAAAAGUAUGAAAAUACUAGAUUUUUCAGGCAACUCUGACAUGAAAACUCUUCCAACAAGUCUAUCAAAGGCGAGCAGGCUUCAGAUGCUCAUACUUGAUGGUUGUGAUGGACUGGAAAGCAUUGUUGCCUCUGGUCUGCUUCCUCCUUCUCUCAAGACCUUUAGCUUUGAUGGCUAUGGGCCAACUCGCCAGAGGACAUCAACUGUUGAGCUACCUCCGAAAGAUUUCCGUCCACCUCCCAAUGAAGAGAAGAAGGGUAUCUCUACAUCGAGGAUCUCCCUGGUAGGCUGCACACAAUUGGAUAAUCUGUUCUUGCGUGGGUUACCCAACCUUGUGGAACUGGAUCUCUCCGGAACUGCGAUCAAGAAGCUUGACUUCAAGACUAUGGUGGUGCAGGUCCCAAGGCUCAAGCGGUUAUUUCUAAUAGGAUGCAAGCACCUUCGUGCAAUCAUUUCUUUGGAGAAGAUUGAUCAUCUUGAGUUAGUGUGCAUAGACACGCGAGCUGGA